rnacentral:rRNA from 1 species
AGCGAACGCUGGCGGCAGGCCUAACACAUGCAAGUCGAACGCACCGCAAGGUGAGUGGCGCACGGGUGAGUAACACGUGGGAAUGUACCCUUUGGUUCGGAAUAACGUCUGGAAACGGACGCUAAUACCGGAUGAGCCCUGCGGGGGAAAGAUUUAUCGCCAAAGGAGCAGCCCGCGUCUGAUUAGCUAGUUGGUGGGGUAAAGGCCUACCAAGGCGACGAUCAGUAGCUGGUCUGAGAGGAGGAUCAGCCACACUGGGACUGAGACACGGCCCAGACUCCUACGGGAGGCAGCAGUGGGGAAUAUUGGACAAUGGGCGAAAGCCUGAUCCAGCCAUGCCGCGUGAGUGAUGAAGGCCUUCGGGUUGUAGAGCUCUUUCGCACGCGACGAUGAUGACGGUAGCGUGAGAGGAAGCCCCGGCUAACUUCGUGCCAGCCGCCGCCGUAAAAC